rnacentral:rRNA from 1 species
GGGUUGUGAGGUUAAGCGACUAAGCGUACACGGUGGAUGCCCUGGCAGUCAGAGGCGAUGAAGGACGUGCUAAUCUGCGAUAAGCGUCGGUAAGGUGAUAUGAACCGUUAUAACCGGCGAUUUCCGAAUGGGGAAACCCAGUGUGAUUCGUCACACUAUCAUUAACUGAAUCCAUAGGUUAAUGAGGCGAACCGGGGGAACUGAAACAUCUAAGUACCCCGAGGAAAAGAAAUCAACCGAGAUUCCCCCAGUAGCGGCGAGCGAACGGGGAGCAGCCCAGAGCCUGAAUCAGUGUGUGUGUUAGUGGAAGCGUCUGGAAAGGCGCGCGAUACAGGGUGACAGCCCCGUACACAAAAAUGCACAUGCUGUGAGCUCGAUGAGUAGGGCGGGACACGUGGUAUCCUGUCUGAAUAUGGGGGGACCAUCCUCCAAGGCUAAAUACUCCUGACUGACCGAUAGUGAACCAGUACCGUGAGGGAAAGGCGAAAAGAACCCCGGCGAGGGGAGUGAAAAAGAACCUGAAACCGUGUACGUACAAGCAGUGGGAGCCUCUUUAUGGGGUGACUGCGUACCUUUUGUAUAAUGGGUCAGCGACUUAUAUUCUGUAGCAAGGUUAACCGAAUAGGGGAGCCGAAGGGAAACCGAGUCUUAACUGGGCGUUAAGUUGCAGGGUAUAGACCCGAAACCCGGUGAUCUAGCCAUGGGCAGGUUGAAGGUUGGGUAACACUAACUGGAGGACCGAACCGACUAAUGUUGAAAAAUUAGCGGAUGACUUGUGGCUGGGGGUGAAAGGCCAAUCAAACCGGGAGAUAGCUGGUUCUCCCCGAAAGCUAUUUAGGUAGCGCCUCGUGAAUUCAUCUCCGGGGGUAGAGCACUGUUUCGGCAAGGGGGUCAUCCCGACUUACCAACCCGAUGCAAACUGCGAAUACCGGAGAAUGUUAUCACGGGAGACACACGGCGGGUGCUAACGUCCGUCGUGAAGAGGGAAACAACCCAGACCGCCAGCUAAGGUCCCAAAGUCAUGGUUAAGUGGGAAACGAUGUGGGAAGGCCCAGACAGCCAGGAUGUUGGCUUAGAAGCAGCCAUCAUUUAAAGAAAGCGUAAUAGCUCACUGGUCGAGUCGGCCUGCGCGGAAGAUGUAACGGGGCUAAACCAUGCACCGAAGCUGCGGCAGCGACGCUUAUGCGUUGUUGGGUAGGGGAGCGUUCUGUAAGCCUGCGAAGGUGUACUGUGAGGUAUGCUGGAGGUAUCAGAAGUGCGAAUGCUGACAUAAGUAACGAUAAAGCGGGUGAAAAGCCCGCUCGCCGGAAGACCAAGGGUUCCUGUCCAACGUUAAUCGGGGCAGGGUGAGUCGACCCCUAAGGCGAGGCCGAAAGGCGUAGUCGAUGGGAAACAGGUUAAUAUUCCUGUACUUGGUGUUACUGCGAAGGGGGGACGGAGAAGGCUAUGUUGGCCGGGCGACGGUUGUCCCGGUUUAAGCGUGUAGGCUGGUUUUCCAGGCAAAUCCGGAAAAUCAAGGCUGAGGCGUGAUGACGAGGCACUACGGUGCUGAAGCAACAAAUGCCCUGCUUCCAGGAAAAGCCUCUAAGCAUCAGGUAACAUCAAAUCGUACCCCAAACCGACACAGGUGGUCAGGUAGAGAAUACCAAGGCGCUUGAGAGAACUCGGGUGAAGGAACUAGGCAAAAUGGUGCCGUAACUUCGGGAGAAGGCACGCUGAUAUGUAGGUGAAGUCCCUCGCGGAUGGAGCUGAAAUCAGUCGAAGAUACCAGCUGGCUGCAACUGUUUAUUAAAAACACAGCACUGUGCAAACACGAAAGUGGACGUAUACGGUGUGACGCCUGCCCGGUGCCGGAAGGUUAAUUGAUGGGGUUAGCGGUAACGCGAAGCUCUUGAUCGAAGCCCCGGUAAACGGCGGCCGUAACUAUAACGGUCCUAAGGUAGCGAAAUUCCUUGUCGGGUAAGUUCCGACCUGCACGAAUGGCGUAAUGAUGGCCAGGCUGUCUCCACCCGAGACUCAGUGAAAUUGAACUCGCUGUGAAGAUGCAGUGUACCCGCGGCAAGACGGAAAGACCCCGUGAACCUUUACUAUAGCUUGACACUGAACAUUGAGCCUUGAUGUGUAGGAUAGGUGGGAGGCUUUGAAGUGUGGACGCCAGUCUGCAUGGAGCCGACCUUGAAAUACCACCCUUUAAUGUUUGAUGUUCUAACGUUGGCCCCUAAUCGGGGUUGCGGACAGUGUCUGGUGGGUAGUUUGACUGGGGCGGUCUCCUCCUAAAGAGUAACGGAGGAGCACGAAGGUUGGCUAAUCCUGGUCGGACAUCAGGAGGUUAGUGCAAUGGCAUAAGCCAGCUUGACUGCGAGCGUGACGGCGCGAGCAGGUGCGAAAGCAGGUCAUAGUGAUCCGGUGGUUCUGAAUGGAAGGGCCAUCGCUCAACGGAUAAAAGGUACUCCGGGGAUAACAGGCUGAUACCGCCCAAGAGUUCAUAUCGACGGCGGUGUUUGGCACCUCGAUGUCGGCUCAUCACAUCCUGGGGCUGAAGUAGGUCCCAAGGGUAUGGCUGUUCGCCAUUUAAAGUGGUACGCGAGCUGGGUUUAGAACGUCGUGAGACAGUUCGGUCCCUAUCUGCCGUGGGCGCUGGAGAACUGAGGGGGGCUGCUCCUAGUACGAGAGGACCGGAGUGGACGCAUCACUGGUGUUCGGGUUGUCAUGCCAAUGGCACUGCCCGGUAGCUAAAUGCGGAAGAGAUAAGUGCUGAAAGCAUCUAAGCACGAAACUUGCCCCGAGAUGAGUUCUCCCUGACUCCCUGAGAGUCCUGAAGGAACGUUGAAGACGACGACGUUGAUAGGCCGGGUGUGUAAGCGCAGCGAUGCGUUGAGCUAACCGGUACUAAUGAACCGUGAGGCUUAACCUUACAACGCCGAAG